rnacentral:rRNA from 1 species
UACAGAGGUCUCAAGCGUUGUUCGGAUUCAUUGGGCGUAAAGGGUGCGUAGGCGGCGCGGUAAGUCGGGUGUGAAAUCUCGGGGCUUAACUCCGAAACUGCAUUCGAUACUGUCGUGCUUGAGGACUGGAGAGGAGACUGGAAUUUACGGUGUAGCGGUGAAAUGCGUAGAUAUCGUAAGGAAGACCAGUGGCGAAGGCGGGUCUCUGGACAGUUCCUGACGCUGAGGCACGAAGGCCAGGGGAGCAAACAGG